CCCGGACUCAGCCUCACAGAUGACUACCCGCUUUCGGACUCCCUCUCAGAGGGCUACCCACUUUGGGCCCCCUCUCAUUGUUGAGAGCUUUUCUGUGGCUCAAUAAAAUUCUUCUCUGCCUUGCUCACUCUCCUGAUUUCUCUUGAUCGUGGGACGAGAACCCAGAGCCUGCCAAACAGUGGCUGCUGCGAAAAGAGCUGUAACGUGUGCUCCUGCUUCCUGAGCUACAGGAGUGAAAAAAACUGCUGGACGCCACACACCCCGAUUUGCUGAGCUGCCAGCGCGGGACCAAACGAGUUGCGACACACCCCCAUUUGCCGAAGCUGCAGGUGGCAGGAACAAACGACAGCUGUUAACACUUCCUGGGGGGCUCAGACCUUGGGACUCCCCAGGCAAAAGCUAGAACACCCCUUGGGGCUCCACAGUUGUUGGCAUCUCCAAGUUUUCAGAUUGCACAGAAGCUUAGGAAUAUGUGCAAGCCUAGAUGUGAUCCCAGUCCAACAGAUUUCACAGCCUUCUCUCUACCUGAGUUUUACUUCGGCUCCCUGACAACAAUGCAAAUUUGUCAAGCAGCUUGAUUGUCUGAAUCAAUCCUCACAGAAACCUAUUUUAUGGAUGAAGAAACAGAGGCUCAAAGAUGUUAAGCCAUUUCACUAAAGUCAUGCAAUCGGUAAGCUAUGGGGGCAAAGUCAAGCUAGCUAAAAAAUUGUGUUCACUCGGUGAAUGUCCUGUGAAUGACCUGUCUCCCUGUUUUACUUUUCUAACGCAAGAAUCUGGACCAAGGACUCACAGAGGAUAAUAGAAUAAGCAUUGAAUAAACUAGUUUGGUUGCUUACUGUUUAAAACCCAUUUUAGAAGGAAAUGAAAUAUAUUUUCUCAGAAAAUUAACAUUUUAAUAUCUUAUGAUUUUCAUCUACUUGCUUCUGUGUGUGUGUGGAUAUGUACAUUAUAAGUCCUAAGCCUAUCAGAAAAUUUCAUUUUCCUAGAUAAAAUCAUUGUACAGGGACUGACAAGUGAUCAAUAAAUUGAAUUUUGGUGAACUAUUGCUUGAAAGGCUGGGAGAAGCAUGUUCUCUCCUUUGCAUAUUGUCACAUCCAGAUGAAGCCUUGAAAUUCUUGAGUACACAACUUUCUGAUGGAACAUGAUGCUGAUACCAAAAAGACAGGCAAGAUGGGAAAUGUGUAGAUAAAUGGAUAAAUGAAUAAAUGGAGUCACAACACCUAGCUUAGGUGAAAAGCAGAAACUGGCCUACCUCCAGAAUUCCAGUGAUGUGUACUGCUGAUACAUUUCCUGAUGGUUUAAGCCCAUUGAUUUGGAUUUUUAUUAUUUGAUACAAAAUGUAUACUAAUUGAUAUGUUUGCAGAAUUGAAAUUCAUACACCCGCUCUGGCAGACACUAGCCAUGGGAUUUGGGGUUAACCUAAAUGGAUCCUCAACUUCUAACCAAAUAGAACUACAUUUCUACCCAAAUUGGUUGCUAUGAGUAUGAGACAGGACAA
rnacentral:lncRNA from 1 species